rnacentral:rRNA from 1 species
UACGAAGGGGCUAGCGUUGCUCGGAAUCACUGGGCGUAAAGCGCACGUAGGCGGACUCUUAAGUCGGUGGUGAAAUCCUGGAGCUCAACUCCAGAACUGCCUUCGAUACUGGGAGUCUCGAGUCCGGAGAGGUGAGUGGAACUGCGAGUGUAGAGGUGAAAUUCGUAGAUAUUCGCAAGAACACCAGUGGCGAAGGCGGCUCACUGGCCCGGUACUGACGCUGAGGUGCGAAAGCGUGGGA